rnacentral:rRNA from 1 species
GACGAACGCUGGCGGUGUGCUUAACACAUGCAAGUCGAACGGUAAGGCCCUUUCUGGGGUACACUAGUGUCUAACGGGUGAGUAACACUUGAGUAACCUUCCCUCAUCUCUGGGAUAACAGUCGCUAACGGUUGCUAAUACUUGUUAUGAGCUUUCUAUUCAUCUUGUUGGUUGGAAAGAUUUUUUUGGUUGGGGUUGGACUCGCUGCGUAUCAGCUUUUUGGUUAGUUAGUGGCUCACCAAGGCUUCUACGGGGAGCCGGACUGGUAGGGCGACCGGCCAAAAUGGGACUGAGAUAAGGCACAAACUGCGAAGGGAGGGAGAAGUGGGGAAGAUUGAAAAAGGGACGGAAGUCUGAUGCAGCAAGGCCGCGUGCGGGAUGACGGCGUUAGGGUUGAAAAACGCAUUCAAUAGUGACGAAGCUUAUUGUGACGGUAGCAGUAGAAGAAGCACCGGCUAACUACGUG